ACUGCUGCGACAUCAUGCAGAAGACGACAAAGCUGUGGGGACGUGGCUGUGGAAUACCUGUAACGUGUCCAAGGAGCAAAGAGCCAUCUUGUGACUCCCAGUCAGUUUUAGCUUUCCCUCUGAACAGAAAAUGGAAACAGAAAAAUGAAGUCUUCUGGGAGUUGCAGUUCAUUCUACUCUUCUGAGACCAAGAGACCAGAAAUAUCGACAAUUCUUGGAACCUACAUUAUUAACCUUCUAACUGCCAGUACACUACAGGAUAUUAUGAUAUGGAAUACCAAUCAAAAAUCAGAAAACCACAACAAAUUGCUGCUCAGUUGCCUGUGUGAAAGACAACGGAUCAGUAAGUGAUGGGUCUUGGAUUGUUCUGCUGAAUCUGCAGAUCAAUAUAGCCAAGCUAGGAUAGCCAGGACCCAACACAUUUGAGAUAGUAUCUAUAAGAUACCCUUAUAAGCUUAAGGAUUUUUUUGUGUGUAAUACAUGACCAACCAGGUUGUGUGGUUACAUGAAUAAACUGGUGAUGCUGUCAAUCUUCCUAGACAGAAUAAGCUGUGUUUUGUAUCCUGAAGGUUUAGUGCUAACGUCAACCUGGGAAGUGGGUGGCUAGUUCACUGUAAAGUCACUCUUGACUUCUCCCUUUGCUGUGUUCCCUGGGCAGAUAAGUCCCUACCACCAGAACUCUGUUCCUGCAGUUUACACAUUUCUUCAGACUUGCUGCGGCCUUAAGUAUAUAGCAGUGUAUUUCUGCGUGUACAAUCAGUGUACUACUGUUUCUCUUGGAGUGAUGUGAAUGAAUUAAAAUUUUUAAGGUGUUCUGAGCCUUCCGU
ensembl:lncRNA